rnacentral:rRNA from 1 species
UUCUUUAAAGUUAAAAAUUUUGGCGGUAUUUUAGUCUUUUCAGAGGAACCUGUUUUUUAAUUGAUAGUCCACGAUUAGUUUUACUUAAGUUUUAAAUUUAUAUAUCGUCGUUUAUAAAAAUUUUAUUAUUAAAUUUUUUCAGAUCAAGGUGUAGUUUAUAUUUAAGUUAAAAUGGGUUACAAUAGAAAUUUCAGAUAAAUUGGAUUUGAAAGUAAGCUCUAAAAUAUGCACAUAUCGCCCGUCGCUUUCGUUUUAAGAUGAAAUAAGUCGUAACAAAGUAGGCCUAUUGGAAAAUGGGCCUAGAAUGCAGGCUAGAGCUUGUUAAGCAUUUCAUUUACAUUGAAAAGUUUUCUGUGAAAUUCGGUUUAGCUUGAAUUUAUAAACUUAUUGUUAUUUUUUUUCUUUUAUUUUAAUUGAAAUAUUAGAUUUUUUAUUAUUUUUUGAAAUGAUUUAUUGAUAGUUGAUAGUAUAGUGUUAGAAUUUUUUAAAAUUUUUAAAAGAAAAUUUUACUUUUUGUACCUUGUGUAUCAGGGUUAAUUAAUUUGUUUUCCCGAAUUUAAAAGAGCAAAUUUUGUUGUGAAAUAAAAAUUUAGAAUAGUAAAUUUGAAAUGAAAUGUUAUUCGUUUUUAAAUAUAUCUGGUUUCUUAAGAAAAAAAUUUAAUUUUAUUAUUAUUUUCAAUUUUAUUAGGGGAUAAGCUUUUGGUUAUAAUUUUAUAAGUUAAUGUUUUUAUAAAAUUUAUAGGAUUAGAAUUUUCUAUUUUUAACAGGAUGUUAUAGUUAAUAAUUUUAAUUUUUUUAUUGAGAUUUUUAUUUGAAUUUAUUAUGUUAUGUAAUAAUGAUUGAAUUAGUAAAGUUUAUUAAAGGAAUUCGGCAAUAUUUAUUUUCACCUGUUUAAUAAAAACAUGUCCUUUUGAGUAUAAUUUAAGGUCUUGCCUGCCCAAUGAUUUAAUGGCCGCAGUAUUUUGACUGUGCAAAGGUAGCAUAAUCAUUAGUUUUUUAAUUGAAAGCUGGUAUGAAUGGUUUGAUGAGAAAUAAACUGUCUCUAGAAUUUUAAUUUUGAGUGAAAAAGCUUAAAUUUUAUACAAAGACGAGAAGACCCUAUAGAGUUUUUAUGUUGGGGUGAUGUAAAAAUUUAAUUAACUUUUUAUU